UACGUAGGGUGCAAGCGUUGUCCGGAAUUAUUGGGCGUAAAGAGCUCGUAGGCGGUUUGUUGGGUCGGCUGUGAAAUCCCGAGGCUCAACCUCGGGUCUGCAGUCGAUACGAGCAAACUAGAGUGUUGCAGGGGAGACUGGAAUUCCUGGUGUAGUGGUGAAAUGCGUAGAGAUCGGGAGGAACACCAGUGGCGAAGGCGGCUUGCUGGGCCGGACCUGACGCUGAGACGCGAAGGCGUGGGGAGCGAACGGG
rnacentral:rRNA from 1 species